GUUCCUUGGAGAGCUUGGAGCCGCGCGCCCAAGGGAAUAGGAAAGCUUGGUUACAACCCGGGACACCCGGAGCUUCAGGAUGGUUCGUACUAAGACAUGGACCCUGAAGAAGCACUUUGUUGGCUAUCCUACUAAUAGUGACUUUGAGUUGAAGACAGCUGAGCUCCCACCCUUAAAAAAUGGAGAGGUCCUGCUUGAAGCUUUGUUCCUCACCGUGGAUCCUUACAUGAGAUUCGCAGCCAGAAGUUUGAAGGAAGGUGAUAAAAUGAUGGGGCAGCAAGUGGCCAGGUAAUUAUUUCCAUUUGUCCCAAUGCUUGGAAAAUAUAUCUCCUCUACCUCCUGCUGGGUCCUGUCUCUGUCCAUUGCUCCUACAAUUUCUUCAGCCUGUGUUGUUCACUCACUGUGUGAUCUUGGAAUCAACUUGGGAAAUUCUGUCCCCUUCCUGACUAGCUGGAAAGGAGAGAAGGAUGUGAAAUUGUCAUUUUUU
rnacentral:sRNA from 1 species